UAACAUCCAGUAACGUUAACGGCGUUGUAACGACGGGAAAAGUAAUUAGUUAGAUUAGGCUACCCCGUAAGUGAAAAAAUAACGUCGUUACCUAACGCGUUAUUCCAAACACUGGAUAAGACACACGUCGUUACCUAACGCGUUAUUCCAAACAUUGGAUAAGACAGACACACAGAUAAGACACACGUCGUUACCUUACGCGGUAUUCCAAACACUGGAUAAGACAGACACACAGAUAAGACACACGUCGUUACCUAACGCGUUAUUCCAAACACUGGAUAAGACAGACACACAGAUAAGACACACGUCGUUACCUAACGCGUUAUUCCAAACACUGGAUAAGACAAUUUCAAAAGCAAGCACCCUCACUUUGCACACACAUACACACAUUCUUCACACAAACAUCUUAUCACACCUGCCUCAUGACUUUUAAUCAUUCAAUGGCAGACACACACACACACACCCACACACCUUUCAUACUCACCUUGCAGACAACUCUCACAUUCACUCACUCCUUACAUACAUACACACACACACUCACAGAGAUUACAUUCACUUUCUCACUCACACACACACACAUCAUGAAGAGUUGUUGAGUGCCUUUCUUUUCUUUUGCUAAGGGAUGUGCGACUGUAGCUGAUGUUGAGUCUUCCAAGCUUACCUGUGAUGCCUCGCCUGAUAUUACUAGGUGAACGACAAGGUAAUCAUCAAAAGUGGAUGAUCAGCAUUGAAUCCUUAUUCGUUUGUGAAGGGUCCAACCUCACCACAUUUCUAACAGGCCUUGCGACAUGUUUCUCCACCUUCUACAUUCUGAAUCUGCAAUAUCAGGAGGAGGCAGCUUACACCCUCUGAAGAGAGCAAUCAUGCAUAGUACUGCUGUAAUAACCACAGAACACUAUACUUCUACUUCAUACAACUGAUUAAAUCAAAUAUAAAUGCAGUUACAGUAAGAAAUAAAUGUCAGUUAAUUUCAUUGUGAGAAAGUGUGUUAACGUUAUAAAUUCACAUCCGAUUCAUUCACUUUGGCACAAUUUUCCUCUACAUGAAUCCUAGUGUACCCUAUCAGUUUUCUCUCUCUCUCACAGAGAAAAGUACCAGAAGAAGCCUAAGAACAAUCACUAAUAAGUAAAGUGAAUGUUACUUGAUUUCUCAUGAAUGUUACUUGAUUUCCUCCCUGAUUUUCAUUUAUACUCAUCUCUGUACUUUAAAUUCUUCUGGACAUAAUCUGUCAGUUUAUUCAUUCUCACAUGUACACAAGCCCAAUGCGAUGCAAUGAUAUUGAUAAUUGAUAAAUAUCUGUGAUAAUUAUUCUGUAUCUUAUUUGAUUUUGAAAUAGUACUACUGUAGAUAACAUGUCUACAUUUUACAUACAUACGUGAUACACAAGCCUAAUGCGCUGUUUUUAUUUUCCAUGAUAAUUCUUUUGUACCUUAUUCCCGAUUUUUGAAAUACUACUAGAUCACGUGUCCACAAUUUACAUUUAUACGUGAUACACGAACCUAAUGCAAUGUUUUUUUUUAAUGAUAAUUCUUUUGUACCUUAUUUCUUGAUUUUUAAAAUACGAUUUUCAAAAUACUACUAGAUAGCGUGUCUAUAUUUUAAACGGGCCUAAUGCAAUGUUUUUGUUUUCUAUUAUAAUUCUUCUGUCUUAUUCUUCUUUGAAAACUGAACACAAAUAAGUAACUGAUGUGAAAAAAUGGAUUUUUAUCUUUAAAAUGUUGAUUUGAGAGUGGAUGAACUCAAUAUAUGGCACUUGUUUCCUGUAAUUGUAAAAAAUUAAAGACCUGUUGUGUAACUAA